rnacentral:rRNA from 1 species
AUUGAACGCUGGCGGCAGGCUUAACACAUGCAAGUCGAACGGUAACAUAAAGGAGCUUGCUUCUUUGAUGACGAGUGGCGGACGGGUGAGUAAUGCUUGGGAAUCUAGCUUAUGGAGGGGGAUAACUACGGGAAACUGUAGCUAAUACCGCGUAGAAUCGGGAGAUGAAAGUGUGGGACCUUCGGGCCACAUGCCAUAGGAUGAGCCCAAGUGGGAUUAGGUAGUUGGUGAGGUAAAGGCUCACCAAGCCGACGAUCUCUAGCUGGUCUGAGAGGAUGACCAGCCACACUGGGACUGAGACACGGCCCAGACUCCUACGGGAGGCAGCAGUGGGGAAUAUUGCGCAAUGGGGGCAACCCUGACGCAGCCAUGCCGCGUGAAUGAAGAAGGCCUUCGGGUUGUAAAGUUCUUUCGGUAGCGAGGAAGGCAUUUAGUUUAAUAGACUAGGUGAUUGACGUUAACUACAGAAGAAGCACCGGCUAACUCUGUG